UACGGAGGGGACUAGCGUUGUUCGGAAUUACUGGGCGUAAAGCGCACGUAGGCGGAUUUGUAAGUCAGGGGUGAAAUCCCGGGGCUCAACCUCGGAACUGCCUUUGAUACUGCAAAUCUCGAGUCCGGAAGAGGUGAGUGGAAUUCCUAGUGUAGAGGUGAAAUUCGUAGAUAUUAGGAGAACACCAGUGGCGAAGGCGGCUCACUGGUCCGGUACUGACGCUGAGGUGCGAAAGCGUGGGGAGCAAACAGG
rnacentral:rRNA from 1 species